rnacentral:lncRNA from 1 species
CUGUAAUGAUGGAAAAGACGUAUUUUUAUUAAUUCCUGUAUUUUUUAGGUUAUUUUUUAGGUUAUCAAACUUGUUUUCAAUUAUACGUUCGUCUAAUAAAAUAAUUUGUACGUAAACUCAUAAUUUUUUCUUACUCUGAAAAAUUCAUUUUUCACUUCAUAUAAUCUCAUCUAAACAAACACUUAUCUUCAAAACUUUUAAUUUGUGUUGAAUUUAAUUUUGAAUGGAAUCAAAUAAGUCUUUGUUGGAAGUCUACUCUUUCUAUCAUUUCACAUCUGUUAAGAAUUCUGAUAUUAUCGGGUUACGGUGAAAGGAGAGAUUGGUAUGAGUGGCUCGAGAACAACAACAUAAAAGGAUCGAGGAUCGAUAUUCUUUGCCUAGAUUUUUUUGUUUUCGACAAUUAUCUUUUUGAGUAUCGAAUUUCAUUUUUGUUUCUUUGAACCAAUUAUCAGCAAAAUCAAUGCAAAGAUUGACGUGAAAACUAAGAAAUUCAAUAUUCAACUAAGAAUGUGUAAUCCUAAUUAAACACGUAAUGAUGAAAGACUUCUUAUUCAAUAAAUUUUCUAGGUUCGAAAGUCUACUAGUUGACGGAAAAUCUAUACUCAAAUUGUAAAUUACCCUUUUAACCCCACUACUUUCAUGGAUUUUUUUGCUUUGCAUGGGUUUCGUAUCCUUUUUUGUCUUUUAAAAGCAAGUUGAACAUUAUAUGGAAAAUGAAAGUUAGCCAUCGGCAAUCACGAUUUGUACACCAUCCAUCUUAGGGGUGGGCGUUGGAUGGGUCCGUCCGAGUAUUUCAAUAUCUAGAACCACCCAUUAUUUUUCGGGUAUUUCAUAAAUAGAUACAUACGGUUCCACAUAAUUAUUGGACCCAAACCCAAACCCAAACCCGAACCUGAACCUUUAGUUCCGGUUUGGGUUUCGGUUCUACCCAUAGUUUUUAAAUACACAUUUAAGCCCUGUUUGAGCUACAUUAAAUUUAUAAUACACUUUUCUCUCUCUUCUUUUUAACUAUACAUUCUCAAAUAAAAUAAUAUUACACAUAAAUAAAAAAAAAAAAAAUCUUCCUUUU